rnacentral:rRNA from 1 species
UCGCCCAAGAGAUCGGGAUAACACCUGGAAACAAGAUGCUAAUACCGGAUAACAACAGAUGAUGCCUAUCAACUGUUUAAAAGAUGGUUCUGCNUAUCACUCUUGGAUGGACCUGCGGUGCAUUAGCUAGUUGGUAGGGUAACGGCCUACCAAGGCGAUGAUGCAUAGCCGAGUUGAGAGACUGAUCGGCCACAUUGGGACUGAGACACGGCCCAAACUCCUACGGGAGGCAGCAGUU